rnacentral:rRNA from 1 species
UUGAGAUCUCUAAGAUAUUGAGUAAAACAGGAAACACGAUAUGUUGAACGCCUUAGGAGUACGAACGCAAGGAUAAAACUCAAAAGAAAAAACGGGGGCCCGCACAAUCGGUGGAGCAUGUGGAAUAAUUGGAAACAACGCGAAGAACCUUACCUGGCCUUGACAUGCAGAGAACUUUCCAGAGAUGGAUUGGUGCCUUCGGGAACUCUGACACAGGUGCUGCAUGGGUGUCGUCAGCUCGUGUCGUGAGAUGUUGGGUUAAGUCCCGUAACGAGCGCAACCCUUGUCCUUAGUUACCAGCACCUCGGGUGGGCACUCUAAGGAGACUGCCGGUGACAAACCGGAGGAAGGUGGGGAUGACGUCAAGUCAUCAUGGCCCUUAGGCCAGGGCUACACACGUGCUACAAUGGUCGGUACAAAGGGUUGCCAAACCGCGAGGUGGAGCUAAUCCCAUAAAACCGAUCGUAGUCCGGAUCGCAGUCUGCAACUCGACUGCGUGAAGUCGGAAUCGCUAGUAAUCGUGAAUCAGAAUGUCACGGUGAAUACGUUCCCGGGCCUUGUACACACCGCCCGUCACACCAUGGGAGUGGGUUGCUCCAGAAGUAGCUAGUCUAACCGCAAGGAGGACGGUUACCACGGAGUGAUUCAUGACUGGGGUGAAGACAAUGCUUGAAGAAGCAUAAGAUCCGCACG